GGGGAAUAUUGCGCAAUGGGCGAAAGCCUGACGCAGCAACGCCGCGUGCGGGCUGAAGGCCUUCGGGUUGUAAACCGCUUUCAGCAGGGACGAAGGUUUUCUGACGGUACCUGCAGAAGAAGCACAGGCUAACCACGUACUAGCAACCGCGGUGAUACGUAGGGUGCGGCGUUGUCCGGAAUUAUUGGGCGUAAAGAGCUUGUAGGCGGUCUGUUGCGUCGGAAGUGAAAACUCAGGGCUUAACCCUGAGCCUGCUUUCGAUACGGGCAGACUUGAGGGAUGUAGGGGAGAACGGAAUUCCUGGUGGAGCGGUGGAAUGCGCAGAUAUCAGGAGGAACACCAGUGGCGAAGGCGGUUCUCUGGACAUUUCCUGACGCUGAGAAGCGAAAGCGUGGGGAGCAAACA
rnacentral:rRNA from 1 species